UUUAUUUUAAUUCCAACAAAGACGAUUUACAAAAAUAUAUUUUGUAAAUUUAGUUAUUAAAUUUAUGUGCGUCGCAUAUUUAUUUAAUUUAGCAUUCAAGCAUUUUCAUGAGCUAUUUAUUUAAGCAAACACUGAACGAUUAUUACAGUUUUCAUAGUACAACCCGGAAGAUUUUUAUUUUAUUUUAUUUUACUCCACUACACCCACUACCCACUACACCUACUCCUACACAGCAAUACAUUCGUCCACUCCUCUCUGUCUGCCAUAUCUCAAUUAUUCUCGCAAGGAAGAAAUUCAAUGCACAUCUCUAUCUCCAGAAGUUCAACAACAUCAUAUUCACUAACCAUUCGUCUCUACACAGAACACUAUAAGGCUUUGUGACCAGGGGGAUUAGCGCUGCUUUCCCAAGACAGGUUUAUAUGUGAUUAUGAUCUUCAGGCUUUGCCUAUCCAGGUGGGCAUUACUUUCCAAAUGUACAAAGUAUGAUUGAGUUAUUAAGCUCUAAAUGUUUCAAUGAAAUGCAAAUUGUUUAUUUAAUGUAAUGAAAACUGUUUAUCCAAUAAAAUGUUUAUGUGCACUCUGCUCUGUUUAAGGCUCGCGCAGUUAAUCAAUUGAGGUUCUCUUAUGACCUAAUACGUUGUUUGAGAAUUGUGUACACUUGUUAGUUGACUCGGUGGGUUGAUCUCCAUCGGGCUCUAACCAGAGGCGUUAUAAGGGUGCUCGGCUGGAUGUGUUCCGGAGCAUGAGAAAUAUCAGGCCUGCCUGGGUAGCGUCCCGAGGUCAAAGUAAACUUGUCUGGGUUACGCCCUCAGUUCAAGUAAGCGGGAGACAGAGAUCCGUCGGUGGCUAAAAGGUCCGGGAUCACAGCGAGUAACAGAAAGGGAGUGUGACAUGUGCGCACAAAUGAAAGAAAAUAUUUUAACAUGCUUAGAAGCUAUUUCAAUUUAAAACCUUCUAAGACAUGUCAAGUAUGAUUGGAUAAACUGUCUUUACGAAAAUAUAAAAUGUUUCAGAAAAUGCAUGCCCACUAAGUACAUUAGUACUUAGCCCAAAAAUACUUUCAAAUGUUUUCAGGUUGGCUGGACGGUGCUGACGGGACGGAGCUGAGGCUAAAGAUAAAUUCCUAUGUUAGACUUCCGCUGUAGCAAUUACUCAUAUCCAUCUUUUGUUUUCCCAACUUAAGAUCUUCAUGUUAAAUUUCAAAUGAUAUAUUUGACCGAGCUUAGACUCUUCACUACUAAAUUUAUGCUAAUGAAUGUUGGUUGUCAGAAGCAUGAAACAAAACUUGUGAUCCAAAUGGGCAUAGCCCGACUUUCUAUCAUAUUUCGGGUUUUAACAAGGUUUUUCCCUUGUUUAUUUCUAUGAAUUAUUCA